CCGUGGGCGCUGGAGAACUGAGGGGGGCUGCUCCUAGUACGAGAGGACCGGAGUGGACGCAUCACUGGUGUUCGGGUUGUCAUGCCAAUGGCACUGCCCGGUAGCUAAAUGCGGAAGAGAUAAGUGCUGAAAGCAUCUAAGCACGAAACUUGCCCCGAGAUGAGUUCUCCCUGACUCCUUGAGAGUCCUGAAGGAACGUUGAAGACGACGACGUUGAUAGGCCGGGUGUGUAAGCGCAGCGAUGCGUUGAGCUAACCGGUACUAAUGAACCGUGAGGCUUAACCUUACAACGCCGAAGGUGUUU
rnacentral:rRNA from 1 species